rnacentral:tRNA from 1 species
AGACAACAAAAUGUUUAAUAUUAUUAUUUUGUCACCUUAGGUCGAUCGGUAUCUCACGUUUUUAAUUUAUUAAAAAUUUCAUUUCCUAAGUUUUUCUAGGUCACUCCCAUUAUUUUCCUGGGCCAUUAGCUCAGGUGGUUAGAGCGCACCCCUGAUAAGGGUGAGGUCCCUGGUUCAAGUCCAGGAUGGCCCAUAUCUCUAUGUUGGGGGUAUAGCUCAGUUGGUAGAGCGCCUGCUUUGCAAGCAGGAUGUCAGCGGUUCGAGUCCGCUUACCUCCACUGAUUACCACCUCUUCCAUAACCGGUAGCAAGGAAAUGUUUUGAGUUGUGAUCAAAUCCUGAAAGAAUCUAGCUUCCUAAUGAAAUCAUUAAGAUGCUGGACUCAUUGAAUUAAUUUCAUUGUUUUCAGAGAACCUUGACAACUGCAUAGAUUAUUUUUAAAGACAAUAAGCAUCUUUAAUGAUGCAGAUUUAUUAUUUGUGCGAAUGCAUUAAUAACAAUUCUAUUAAGCUGAUGCUUCAAUUUUUGAAGUUAUU